rnacentral:rRNA from 1 species
GACGAACGCUGGCGGCGUGCUUAACACAUGCAAGUCGAACGGAAAGGCCCUGCUUUUGUGGGGUGCUCGAGUGGCGAACGGGUGAGUAACACGUGAGUAACCUGCCCUUGACUUUGGUAUAACUUCAGGAAACUGGGGCUAAUACCGGAUAGGAGCUCCUGCUGCAUGGUGGGGGUUGGAAAGUUUCGGCGGUUGGGGAUGGACUCGCGGCUUAUCAGCUUGUUGGUGGGGUAGUGGCUUACCAAGGAUUUGACGGGUAGCCGGCCUGAGAGGGUGACCGGCCACAUUGGGACUGAGAUACGGCCCAGACUCAUACGGGAGGCAGGAGUGGGGAAUAUUGCACAAUGGGCGGAAGAAUGAUGCAGCAACGCCGCGUGCGGGAGGACGGCCUUCGGGUUGUAAACCGCUUUCGCCUGUGACGAAGCGUGAGUGACGGUAAUGGGUAAAGAAGCACCGGCUAACUACGU